rnacentral:rRNA from 1 species
AUGGGAGCCUAUCUCAUCUACGACGCCAGGGAUGGCUCCCUCUCCGUCAUCCCCCCUAUCCCCUCCGACGACGAGUAUCUGGCCAUGGGGCACCAGUCGGCCGUCGUCAUGUGCGACGCCACCGGGACCGGGGGUGGCUACCUUCUUGCCGAGCUCGUCUGGGUCAUGCCAGGGUUCUCCCGAGCCGCCGUCUGGCUGUGGGAGUCGUCUGCCAAAGAAUGGGUCUUGAAGCCCGGCUGCCUGCCCCUUCCACCCGACAUCGCCAUGGAUUUCUCCAUUCACUCGUGCUUCUCUUAUCGGGGCUCUACCUUCUGCUGGGUAGAUCUCCACCAAGGCAUGGUGCUCUGUGAUCUGCACCAAGGCUGCAAGUUCAGCUUCAUUGAGUUGCCCCAAGGACGUCCAAACUAUGAUGCCUCCGAACAUCCAGACGGCCUCUGCGCUGAGGAGUUCCGUUCCGUGGCCUGUGUUCGUGGCUCCAUCAAGUUCCUUGCCUUCAAUAAAUUUGUUGAACGCAAGCCCGGCGAAGAAUAUGGACUGACCGUCUGGACUCUCUACCCUGACCACUCAGGGUGGAGCAUAAGCUACCAGUGCAGGGUCCGAGACAUCUGGGCAAACGCCAACUACCAGUCUGCUGGUUUGGGACAGCUUGGUCCGUCGUUCCCUGUCCUGAGCAUCCAUCAAGACAGCGUCGUCUACCUAGUCGUAAACGAUGCCCGUGUGGUGGGGAAGGACCGUCGACUAGUGCACAAGGCCCAGUAUUUGCUUCGUGUCGACAUGGGGAAUAACAACGAUGUCCAGGUCUAUCAACAGAAGACGACACAUAUUUAUUCCCAGCUCUUUGCAAGUGAGUUCAGUGCGCACCAACGACAGGAUCACCCGAGAGAGAUAGAAGCAAGCGAGUUUGGUGCAAGUGGAAAGAAGACGAAGGCCUGA